AUAUCAAUAAGCGGAGGAAAAGAAACUAACAAGGAUUCCCCUAGUAACUGCGAGUGAAGCGGGAAGAGCUCAAAUUUAAAAUCUGGCGGUCUCAGGCUGUCCGAGUUGUAAUCUAGAGAGGUGUUUUCCGCGCAGCACCGUGUAAAAGUUCCUUGGCACAGGGCGUCAUAGAGGGUGAGAAUCCCGUGCAUGACACGGGCUGAGAGUGCUCGUGUGAUACACCUUCAAAGAGUCGAGUUGUUUGGGAAUCUCAGCUCAAAAUGGGUGGUGAGUUCCAUCUACAGCUAAAUACAGGCGAGAGAUCUAUAGCGAACAAGUACCGUGAGGGAAAGAUGAAAAGAACUUUGGAAAGAGAGUUAAACAGUACGUGAAAUUGUUGAAAGGGAAACGCUCGAAGUCAGUCGCGUCUGAUGGGACUCAACCUAGCUUUUGCCUGGUGUACUUCACAGUAGAUGGGCCAGCAUCACUUUCCGGUCCCGGAAAAGGAUUUGAGGAAUGUGACAGCUGGCUGUGUUAUAGCCUCUUGUCGUACCCGGUGCUUGGGAUUGAGGCCUGCAGCACGCCUUUUGGUCGGGGUUCUCCUACGCCACGUGCUUAGGAUGCUGGCGUAAUGGCUUUAAGCGA
rnacentral:rRNA from 1 species